ensembl:misc_RNA Metazoa_SRP Metazoan signal recognition particle RNA
GCUGGGUGCGGUGGCUCAUGCCUGUAAUCCCAGCACUUUGGGAGGCUGAGGCGGGUGGAUUACCUGAGGCCAGGAGUUUGAGACCAGCCUGGCCAACAUGGUGAAAACCCGUCUCUA